rnacentral:rRNA from 1 species
AGAGUUUGAUCAUGGCUCAGGACGAACGCUGGCGGCGUGCUUAAUACAUGCAAGUCGAGCGGCCCUUCGGGGCAGCGGCGGACGGGUGAGGAACACGUGAGUAACCGGGCGUCCGGUGGGGGAUAUCGGGCCGAAAGGCGCGGCAAUCCCGCAUACGGUCUGUACGCAGGGGCGUGCAGAGGAAAGGCCUUCGGGUCGCCGGACGGGGGGCUCGCGGCCCAUUAGCUGGUUGGGGGGGUAACGGCCUCCCAAGGCGACGAUGGGUAGCCGGCCUGAGAGGGUGAUCGGCCACACUGGGACUGAGACACGGCCCAGACUCCUACGGGAGGCAGCAGUAGGGAAUCUUCCACAAUGGGCGCAAGCCUGAUGGAGCAACGCCGCGUGAGUGAAGACGGCCUUCGGGUUGUAAAGCUCUGUCUGUCGGGACGAGGACCCGGCCGGAAGGCCGGGGGGGACGGUACCGGCGGAGGAAGCCCCUGCUAACUACGUGCCAGCAGCCGCGGUAAGACGUAGGGGCAAGCGUUGUCCGGAAUGACUGGGCGUAAAGGGCGUGUAGGCGGUGCGUCACGUAGCGGUUUUCAGCCGUCGGCUCACCCGACGGAGGGCGGCUAAACGGGCGCGCUGGAGGGCAGGAGAGGUGCACGGAAUUCCUGGUGGAGCGGUGAAAUGCGUAGAGAUCAGGAAGAACACCCGUGGCGAAGGCGGUGCACAGGCCUGACCCUGACGCUGAGGCGCGACAGCGUGGGGAGCGAACGGGAUUAGAUACCCCGGUAGUCCACGCCGUAUACGAUGGAUACUAGGUGUCGCGGUGUGUCCACCCGGCGGUGCCGG